UUAUUUUAUUGUGGGUGAGGUGAGAUAAGGGGUAGAAGCGAGAGAGAUGAGAGGAGGGCCGCUUGUUCCCGCCAUAUCGAUCUCAUCAUCAUCAUCAAUUGUGGGGUGUAUAAACACCCUUCGCCGCCAACAUUGCUCUCCACCUCUAGGGUUCCACACCAGCAAGUACUGGGACAAGUUCUACAAGCGCCAUCAAAACAAGUUCUUCAAGGACCGGCAUUACUUGGUAAAGGACUGGGGACAAUACUUCUACGGUGAUAAUACUGUAUCCCCAUAUGGGAAGGUCAUUUUAGAGGUUGGUUGUGGAGCUGGCAACACUAUUUUCCCACUGAUUGCUACAUGUCCUAAACUUUUUGUUCAUGCUUGUGACUUCUCGUCCCAUGCAAUCGCACUUGUUAAGUCACAUGUGGAUUUCAAUGUAGACCAAGUAAAUGCAUUUGUUUGUGAUGUUGCAAAUGAUGAUCUCUGUGACAAAAUGAUGCCUUCUUCUAUUGAUGUCGUUACCUUGAUUUUUAUGUUGUCUGCAGUUUGUCCAAAGAAGAUGCCCUUAAUAUUGAAGAACAUAAAGAAAGUAUUAAAGCCAAAUGGUUAUAUUCUUUUACGGGAUUACGCAAUAGGAGAUUAUGCUCAAGUAGAGUUACGCAAGAGGAAUCAGAUGAUUAGUGAGAACUUCUAUAUACGAGGAGAUGGUACUCAUUGUAGAUAUGGAUACAUACAGCAGACAAAUUCAGAAUCGUUCUCGGAACAUAACUAUGUCUCGGCGUUGGACACGAGCCACAUUUCGGCCAGUUUGAUUGUGGUGUUUUUCAAUGAUUUUUGGUGCUUUAAUGGGCCAGGUUAUGUGGUUGAAGGAUUGGCUACCCCUACCUGACCAAGACUACUACUUACUAGCAAGGCAGUUAAUAAAUUGCAAGGAUAGACAAAUACGGCACAAAGCAAUGGCUUUCAAGAAUUAUUUCAUUUUCAUUAUCCAUUUUGUCAGACCUUUUAGCCAUUUUUUUUUUUGCAUAUACUGUUUUUUCCAGUUAUAUUUAUUUCCUUCUACCACUGGUUGGCUGUGGAUAUUCGGCUUGAUUGUGGAAGGGGAAUGUAUGUAAGGUACACCUUCAGAGGUGAAAUCAGCCUAUUGUUGCUUUUGCAACACUUGAGGGCAUUGUUAUUUGUUUAUUUAUCUUUUUGGCAUUCAGUCACCAAGUGCUUGUAAUGCCUGCUGAGCAUUUGAACUUAGUAGGAUUUGAGGUUGCCUA